AGCGAACGCUGGCGGCAGGCCUAACACAUGCAAGUCGAACGAACUCUUCGGAGUUAGUGGCGGACGGGUGAGUAACACGUGGGAACGUGCCUUUUGGUUCGGAAUAACUCAGGGAAACUUGUGCUAAUACCGAAUGUGCCCUUCGGGGGAAAGAUUUAUCGCCAUUAGAGCGGCCCGCGUCUGAUUAGCUAGUUGGUGAGGUAAAGGCUCACCAAGGCGACGAUCAGUAGCUGGUCUGAGAGGAUGAUCAGCCACAUUGGGACUGAGACACGGCCCAA
rnacentral:rRNA from 1 species